rnacentral:rRNA from 1 species
UACGGAGGGAGCUAGCGUUGUUCGGAAUUACUGGGCGUAAAGAGCGCGUAGGCGGUCUGUAAAGUUAGGAGUGAAAGCCCAAGGCUUAACCUUGGAACUGCUCUUAAAACUCACAGACUAGAGAUUGGUAGAGGAUGGUGGAAUUCCUAGUGUAGAGGUGAAAUUCGUAGAUAUUAGGAGGAACACCGGUGGCGAAGGCGGCCAUCUGGGCCAAUACUGACGCUGAGGUGCGAAAGCGUGGGGAGCAAACGGG